AAAAAAAAAGUAGAAUUCAACAAAGAAGCUGGUUAUGAAAUUAACAUGCAAAAAUCAAGUUUUUCAUACAAAUAGUAACCAGGAGAAAAUAUAAUGAGGGAAAAUAGAAUUUAUAUAUUAGCAAUGAAUUGGAGGGGAAAUACCUAAGAAUAAAGUUAAGAAUCCACAAUACUUACGUGAAUAAAAGCAUAAUACUCUAUUGAGAGAACUCAAAGACAUAUUUGGAUAAAUUGAAAGAUAAAAGUUGGAUAAGAAAUCUCAUUAGUGUAAACUUCUCAAGUCCCCUAAAUUAACAUAGAAAUUCAAUGAGAUUCCAGUCACUGAGAAGUUAAUUCUAAUUCACAUAGAAAUAUAGCUAUAUAUUACAUAUAAUAUAAUAAUAUAGAAACACGUGUCAGAAUAGCCAGGAAUUUUGGGGGGAAAACCAAGGAGGAACUAGUCCUACCAGAUGCCAAAAUGUACAAAAGUACAGUAAUAAAAUGAAGUUAGUGUUGGUGGAGAAAUAGGUCAUUGGAACAGAGUCUAGAAACAGGCUCAAAUACAUACGUCAUUUAAUAUGUGAGGGUCCACGUGCGGAUCCCUAGGCUACUGUCUCAGCUUCGGAGCCGUCCUGCGCUCGCUCGGCGAUGCUGGGCUGGGACGCCGAGCGCGUCUCUCUCGGCCGGCCGGCUGCCCGCCGGUGGUGCCCGCGGGGGCGCUGGGGGAGAGCCGAGCGGGAGGAGAACGGGCGCCGGCUCCUCCGGGCUGCCUCCUGCGGCCGCCGCUGCUGCCCGCGAGCCCUCUGCCCCGGCGGCGAGUGGCCGCUGUUUCCCACGACAGCGAGUUCCAGCGACCUGCGUCUCUCCACGUUCUCAACCAGGCUCGCGUUCUGGGUCUGGGCUCCCUAAGGCCCUCGCCAAACACCGAGAGAAAUUCUAGAGGAAUCAAAGAUUAGCAUAUAAAAAAAUCUGACAGGUUGCAGAUGAGAGGAAGGGGUGAGGAGGAUUCCGAAAAAAUGGCAGUUUAUUGUGCAGAAGCCGUGGCGCUUCCCGACCCAGCCCCAGUCCCGCUGCUCUUCUCCUAAAACAAGCCGCCGCUGAGGCUCCACGGGCGCGGGCAGCGCCCCGGCUCAGUCACCGGCCCGAGGAUGGAGCUGGGGUGGGAGUUCCUCCCUGUGCCGGAGGAGAUCCCGGCGACCAGCAUCAGAGUCCUGGGGCAGCAGAGCGGCCAGCGUGGUACCUACGGUCAGGUUGGGCAGUCCGCGGGCCGCAGGGCAGGGCGGGGGCCCCAGGUCACGGCCCGGAGGAGCCGGGGUCUCUCUGGCCUCCGGGUCGAGCUGACUCCUCUCUGUCCCUGAGCAGCGGACGCUCAGGCUUCACUAGCCUUGGCAGCACGGGGCCCGUUGGAGGACUCGUAGCUCGCGGGCGCUCACGCCGCAGUCCACAGGCCGACUGCGGGCCGGCCCUCCUCCCGGGACGGUGACGACGGGACGGUGACGACGGCCGGGAGAGCGCCAGCGGCAGGGAGCCAGCGCGAGAGCCAGAGAAAGAGUCUCCUAGAGUCCCCGAACCGCUGGAGGGACAGACACGUGCCGGGAGCGCUCCAGGGUUCAAGUCCAGCCCUGGAAAGUCUUCCCGAUGAGAUGCGGAUGAACGCUCGCGCCUGGUGACGUCAGCUAAGAGAGAACGCAAAGACACAGUCACCAGCUUAUUACUCGGCACAGCAGUUUCUAGUCGGAGAACAUCACAUGGAAGGAAGAGGAGUGGCUGCCGCGUGGGGAUGAACCCAAAGCACACUGCGCAGUGGAGGAAGGAGGAGGAAGCAUGUCCCGUGACUCGUCAGUGGGCUGUGCGCACGCACUGGUUUUACACCUUUUGAACGACUCACGUAUUUACUUUUAUUGUGCCCUCAACGUAUUUUCUGUGAUAUAACUUUAUUUGUAGUGAAGUUUGGAUGCAAGAUCACCGUGAACCCCCUAAAUGUUGAGAAAUGGUUGAACGGUGCGGAAAGAAGGCCAUGCCUUCCAAAGAACCCCUUCUCCGCCAGCCCCCCCACUACCAAGUCUUUCUUCCUCCUUCCUUCCUCCUUCGCAGCAAGGUUUUCAGGAGAGAGCUGACAUCUUUAAGGGAAGGAUAGGUGCAUUUUUUGGAUUAGCGAUGCUCUCUGCGGAGUACAGAUGAAGUCGCAUUGCCUCAUGGAGCUCAUGGCUACUAUCUUGGGAACCAACUGAAGCAGCUGGAGAAUUGAAGUCGUUGGCAUUCAUUGGACCGUCUCCAUUCCUUGCUGUAGACAGAAAGACACCGUUCUCAACGUGUUGAGUUUGUGAUCCUAGGGACCAAGCUUUGGCCUUUUACCACUAAGAUGAAAUGACUACAGACCCAUUGACUAAGGACCACAAAGGCUCAAGUAAACAUAAGGAAAAGGGUGUGUAUCACUAAGGAUUAGGUUUAACUAAAAGGCAGACCUCCAUGGUAACACUGCUGACUUAAGACAGUGGUAUAUUUCUCUGUCUUGUGUAAAGGUCUGGAAGGUAAGUAAUCCAGGGAUGUUGUAGAAUCUCUAUUCCUCUAAGUCUCCAGGAACUCAAACUCCUUCUGGCUUGCUGCUUUACCAUCCCACUGGUGUGGUCCUUAUCCUCAUAGUCCAAGAAGGCAGCUAGAGCUCCAGCUCUCUCACCACAUUACAAGCAGUGGGAUGGAAAGAGUGACAGAGACGAAGGGGAGCAUGAUGGUUGAGAUUAUGUGUCGACUUGACUGGCCGUGGGCUGCCCAGAUUAAACAUUAUUUCUAGGUGUGUCUGUAAGGGUAUUUCUGAAUGAGAUUGACAUUUGAAUCUGUGAACUCAGUAAAGUAAAUUGACCUCCCCAAAGUGGGUGGGCAUCAUCCAUUCUGCUGAGGGCCUGAAUAGAACAAAAGAUGGAGGAAGGAGGAGUUCGCUGGGACAUCUCCUCUCAUCUUCUGCCUCAGACUAGGACUGAUGCUAUUGGCUCCCCUGGUCCUCAGGCCUUUGGACUCAGACUGAAUUAUAUCACCGGCUUUCCUGCGUCUCCAGGAUCUGCAGACAGCAGAUUGUGGGGCUUCCUCGCCUCCAUAAUCGUGGGAGCCAAUUCCUCAUAAUAAAUCGCCUUUGAUGUCUAUGUA